AUUUAAGGCUUGUAUCAAUGGUUGUACGAGAUAUUGACUGUCUCAUUGGAAAUAAUAGAAUUUUAUUUUUUAGUUAAAAAGCUAAGAUUUAUAUAAAAGACGAGAAGACCCUAUGGAUCUUUAUAUUAAUAUUAUUAUAAUUAUUUAGAUUAAUUUAAUUUUAAUUGUUAUUAAUAUUUUGUUGGGGUGACAUUAAGAUUUAUAAAACUCUUAAUAUUAUUCUACAUUAAUUUAUGAAUAGUGGGUGUGAUCCAGUUUUAUUGAUUAAAAGUUUAAGUUACCCUAGGGAUAACAGCGUAAUUUUUCUAGAGAGCUCAUAUCGAUAGAAAAGAUUGCGACCUCGAUGUUGGAUUAAGAUUAAUAAUAGGUGCA
rnacentral:rRNA from 1 species